UACGAAGGGGGGCUAGCGUUGCUCGGAUUGACUGGGCGUAAAGGGCGCGUAGGCGGUUCGUACAGUCAGACGUGAAAUUCCUGGGCUCAACCUGGGGGCUGCGUUUGAUACGUGCGGACUUGAGUGCGGAAGAGGGUCGUGGAAUUCCCAGUGUAGAGGUGAAAUUCGUAGAUAUUGGGGAAGAACACCGGUGGCGAAGGCGGCGACCUGGUCCGAUACUGACGCUGAGGCGCGAAAAGCGUGGGGGAGCAAAACAGG
rnacentral:rRNA from 1 species